GACGAACGCUGGCGGCGUGCUUAACACAUGCAAGUCGAACGGAAAGGUCCUGCUUUUGUGGGGUGCUCGAGUUGCGAACGGGUGAGUAACACGUGAGUAACCUGCCCUUGACUUUGGGAUAACUUCAGGAAACUGGGGCUAAUACCGGAUAGGAGCUCCUGCUGCAUGGUGGGGGUUGGAAAGUUUCGGCGGUUGGGGAUGGACUCGCGGCUUAUCAGCUUGUUGGUGGGGUAGUGGCUUACCAAGGCUUUGACGGGUAGCCGGCCUGAGAGGGUGACCGGCCACAUCAGGACUGAGAUGCGGCCCAGCCUACUACGGGAGGGAGGGGUGGGGAAUAGUACACAACGGGCUGAAGGCAGGCGCAACGACGCCGCGUCGGGGGAAUCGUGAAUGUGUUAGGAUUCCAAUUUCGUUUGUGACGAGGCGUGAAUGACGGUAACGGGUGAAGAAGCACCGGCUAACUACGUG
rnacentral:rRNA from 1 species